AUUGAACGCUGGCGGCAUGCCUUACACAUGCAAGUCGAACGGUAACAGGUCUUCGGAUGCUGACGAGUGGCGAACGGGUGAGUAAUACAUCGGAACGUGCCUAGCAGUGGGGGAUAACUACUCGAAAGAGUGGCUAAUACCGCAUGAGAUCUACGGAUGAAAGCAGGGGAUCGCAAGACCUUGUGCUACUAGAUCGGCCGAUGGCAGAUUAGGUAGUUGGUGUGAUAAAAGCUUACCAAGUCGACGAUCUGUAGCUGGUCUGAGAGGACGAUCAGCCACACUGGGACUGAGACACGGCCCAGACUCCUACGGGAGGCAGCAGUGGGGAAUUUUGGACAAUGGGCGAAAGCCUGAUCCAGCAAUGCCGCGUGCAGGAUGAAGGCCUUCGGGUUGUAAACUGCUUUUGUACGGAACGAAAAGCUCUGGGUUAAUACCCUGGGGUCAUGACGGUACCGUAAGAAUAAGCAACGGCUAACUACGUGCCAGCCGCCGCGGUAACAC
rnacentral:rRNA from 1 species